rnacentral:lncRNA from 1 species
GUUAGGGGUGAGCCUGAAAGGUCAACUCCUGGGGAUAUAUUCCCUGGCUUCAAUGUCUCUCCUGGUGUCCUGGCUGAGCCAUCAUUUCCUGCACCACUUCAACCCCAACUGGUAUGUGUUCUCCAUGAUUGAAGGUUCUCUCCUCAUGCUUCCCUGACAUUCGUUCCAUAUGAUUGGAAGCUAGCUUACAUGGAUAUAUAUGUGGGAUGGUUUGACAUAUGAUAUGUAUUUUGUGUUUCCCCAUGAUCUAAUUUACUGCGGUACUUGCUAAAAUGUAAGUUCUAUUAAGGUGAUACGAGGCCUUACAGUUCUCUAGCUCUUACUGCAUGUGUAUCGAGGCAUGCUACAUGCCUUCUCCUGCCUUUGCAUGCUUGGAUUGUGACUGCUUUCAUGUAUGUAUACAAAUUGUUGGUGUAGGAAAGAUUUGCGAUGUUGUAUUUGCUUUAUUUGCCUGUCAUGGGGCUACUGGACAACUUGAGCCAUUUUACCCCAGUUCUUUUUAACUGAUCUUUUGAAUCUGGUUUCAGGGCAUGGUGUCUCAUGCUGGAAAAUCAACAAAUCCGUUUGACAUGGCAUUUGAGUCUGAUGUUGAAGCCAUCGACAUGGUGUGUAACUGUACUGCUAUUUUCUGGUUUGCACUUAUAACUGUUUGUAAACACACUGAUGUUGAAGCCAACGACAUGGACUACUAAUAGUUCCUCUUGUUUGUAAACACACUGUAAGCUUUAGAAUAAACCGUUGCUGACUAACACACGAUAUCCUUUUACAUUCUUCUCUUAUUGGGUGCUACUCCCUCCGUUCCGAAUUACUUGUCUUGGAUUUGUCUAGAUACGGAUGUAUCUAGACUCAUUUUAGUGCUAGAUACAUCCGUAUCUAGACAAAUCCAAGACAAGUAAUUCGGAACGGAGGGAGUACUUCAGAAUGCAGUUGUUUCAGUACUGCCAAAACCCUGUCACAAGGGAAACCUCUGUUUCUUUGUGUUCUUAUUUAUCAUCUUUUCUAUUCCUCUUUUCAGUUUAUGGAUUUGACCUCACUACAAGCAACAUUGCCGGAUACUCAUCUUCCCGCAGAAUACUCCAUCAACUUAGCAGAGCCAUGGAUGUCUCAGAAUUCUACCGUGCCAUAUAUUCCUUCUGCAUCUCAGGGUAAUCCGCCUCUUCAUGCCAAAUUGAUCGUCAAGCAGAAGUACACAAGUAGACGAACACACUAACUCUCAUUGUUCAUAUACAUUAUCUUAUUCUUUGUUGAGUCCAGGAGGGUUGUCGUACAUCCCGGGGCAAGUACAAGACUCCCAUAUGCUGUAAGCUCCUCCGACACCUGUUCUUAUAGUUUGUAAGACCUUAUGUUUUACAUGAUGCCCUGUAACAGGAACUCAGCACAGCAAGGACAGUUUCCACCAAGAAAUCCAUUUGAUGAAUGAGAGUUGCUGGUGAAGAACGGCGCUGAUGAUGAACAGAUGAGGAGAGCCGAUUUGCACCGCUCGGAACCCAAAAGGACCAUCGGGUGUACUAUAUGCUUGAAACCAGAAACAGCACAGUAGAUAUCUUUCGAUUUCACUGUCUCACUCUCAGCUUUCCUGUAUAUUGCUAGAAAGGAAUGUGCAGAAUUCUAUAUGGCCGGUGCGCUGGAGUCUUUUCACCUGAAGCAAAGCUGCUGUGUCCUUCAGCUCUGUUGUAUAUUGCUGUGUGGUGGUUUUGUGAAAACCAUGAGUCUGCUUUUAUUUUCCACAGUCUGUCAUUUGCCCGUGGUUUGGGUCUGUGUUCUAUUUGAAUCAAAAUAGGAUAUUAUUGACUCAUUUUCAGAAGCAGGGGAUCAUCCGCAUUCUUCGGUCCUUCGUGAUCUUUAUCUUUAAGCAAAAGUACGGUGGCUCGUCAACUGACUGAAUUUGUUGUGAGAUGUUACUUGAAUUGGUGCUAGCUUGCCUUGUUCAUCACAUCUCCCUCAUUAAUGCAUUUAU